rnacentral:lncRNA from 10 species
CUUAUUCAUUUUUGUAUCCCUAGCACAGUGAAAGUCAUGUAGUAAACACCAAACAAAAACAAUGAUGAAAAAAAGCCAACUAAAACCGACUCCCUCUCUUCCAUACCUAGGCCCAGCCAGAACCUGCUCAGCUUCAACAACUCUUUGGAUCACCCACCCAGGAGCUCAAGUGACAACUUUUCUGAAUCAUCAUUUCAACUAUGUUCUUACUACAAGUUUUCUUCACCCUCAUCUUCUUUCUGAGUCAGCCCUCAAUCCUGAUAUUAACAACUCUAUAUUCCUGGGAGACACUAAAGGAAAUUCUCACAGACACGUAUGCUUAAGAGUUCAUGCUUUCUGGGCCAGGUGUGGUGGCUCACGCCUGUAAUCCCACCACUUUAGGAGGCCGAGGCGGGUGGAUCACGAGGUCAGGAGAGCAAGACCAUCCUGGCUAACACGGUGAAACCCCACCUCUACUAAAAAAUACCAAAAAAAAAUUAGCCGGGCAUGGUGGUGGGCGCCUGUAGUCCCAGCUACUUGGGAGGCUGAGGCAGGAGAAUGGAGUGAACCUGGGAGGCGGAGCUUGCAGUGAGCUGAGAUCGCACCACUGCACUCCAGCCUGGGCAACAGAGCAAGACUCUGUCUCAAAACAAACAAACAAACAAAAAAAGAGUUAAUGCUUUCUAACACAGGGUAGAGGGGUAGGUAGAGGGAAGGGGGACCUCUUGGCCAGACUAUGUCAGCAGAACUAAGGUGAGGAAGAUGGUCAGCAUAGUCAAGAAACUAGUUACAUACAUGACGAUUGUGAAAAUAAGAACACAUGUGGAGGAUAAUGGAAACCAGAUUUCUCUCGGCGAAGGGAAUUAAAAUAUGGAAAAUGAGAAGUCUAGAAUAAAACGUGGUAUUGGAAAUAUUAGUGUGAACUCAUGGUUCUAAACAUACACAGAAUGACCAUGAAAUAGACAUGUGUCUGUAUAUGAAACAGUAUAUGCAUAUUUUUACAUGUUUCCUAGCUGUCUACUCAGAGAGGGCCUAGAAGCAAUGACACUUCAGAAGAAAUAACCAUACCUAGUGAACAAGUAUUUAUUUCUAAAUACCAUUCUCCAUGAACUGCAAACAGGAAUCCUUGAAGAAAUGGCUGACUCCAGGACUGGGAAAGUAUAGGAUGAGCCUGGAACAUCUUAGAAUGUCAGUAAGGUGCUCGCUUCGGCAGCACAUAUACAAAAACUGGAACGAUACCAAGAUUAGCAUGACCCCUGCACAAGGAUGACACACAAAUUCGUAGAGCGUUAAAAUUAAAGAAAAUAGAAUGUAAGUAAGAAAAUGCAAAAUAGUGGGACACAUCAAAGCCAGCUUGAAGGAACAUCCACCAACUAAAUCUAAGAAGAUCAAACUAAUGACAGAACUAUGAUUUAAAUAAAUACAGUAACAAAUGACUGAAUAAAGUAGAAAUCCAUGUUCAUACUGUAAUAACUAAAUGAAUACAUAUAAAAAUACAUGCAUAUACUCUAACCUACAUGGAGGGGAAGAAAAUAUCUACCUAACACUACAAGGCCAAAUACUAAUAACUGUAGAACAAAUGCUAUAAUUAGGAAAUCACAUUUGGCAACCAAUGUUGUAAAAACUGACUCAGGCAACAAUCAAUGCCAAAACUAGGGGGUGAAGUCUAAUGAGGAAAGGUGACGAACCUGAAAAAUACCAUCUUAACCAAGUGAUCAGUUAACAUCAGUAGUAAUGGUACAAGCUGACAUUAAGUACCACCUGAUGUGAUGCAGCAAGAAAAUGGCAUCUCCUCUGUAUUGCCAUCAAAACUGUCUAAUCUGAGUCUAAUCAUGAGAAAGUAUCAAACACAAACUGAGGGACAUUAGACAAAAUAACUGGCCUUAACUCCGCCAAAGAUGUAAAAACCAUGAAAAGACCAGGAAACACAGAUCCCAUGGCACACUGAAGGAGAGUAGAGACUUGUGACAACUAAACUAACAUGUGAUUCUGGAUUAGAUCAUGGGUUCUUUGUUUAGGAGACAUGGGGGUGUAGUUUAGUUGUUUUGCUAUAAAGAACAUUACUGGGACAAAUGCUGAAAUUUGAAUGGGAUCUGUGGAUUAGACAAUGGAUUACAUCAAUGUUAACUCUUUGGUUUUGAUGGGUAUUCUGUGGCAGUAAAGCAAAGUGCUCUUGUUUUUAGAAAGUACAAACUAGGUAUUUAGGAGUAAUGGGCAUCAUAUCUGAAAUACUAUCAAGUCACACACACAUACAUAUACAGCAAUGGGAGGAGGAUGCAUUUCACUCCCCAGGAAACAUUUGGCAAUGUCCAAAGACAUUUUGGGUUGUAACAACAAGGCAAGAGGGGGGUGCUAUUGACAACUAAUGGAAAGAGGCCAGGGAUGUUGCUGAAUAUCCUUCAGUGUACAGGGCCAGCCUCCAAACCAAGAAUUAUUCAGUCCAAAAUAUCAAUAGUGCUCAGGCUGAAAAACUGUGAUAGAACAGGAGGAAAACUCCUGCCACUACAAGUCACAGACUACCUCUUUACCACCUGGAAAUGGGGCCACUGGAAUUCUUAAAUCUAAUCAGAUUAGAGAGCCAGAAAAUCCAGAUACUCUCACUGGCCUACCAUUAAAAUGAAUAAAGGUUUUGCCUUGAAAAAAAAAAAAAAAGGCUACUACGUUAAGACACAGCUUAAGACACAGUUUUGGCUUGGCACGGUGGGAGGCCAACUUUGGUACUUUGGGAGGCCAAGGUGGGCGGAUCGCUUGAGGUCAGCAGUUCAAGAUCAGCCUGGCAAACAGGUGAAACCCCAUAUCUACUAGAAAUACAAAAAUUAGCCGGGCAUGGUGGUGCACGUCUGUAAUCCCAGCUACCUGGGAGGCCGAGGCAGGAGAAUUGCUUGUACCUAGGAGGCAGAGGUUGCAGUGAGCCAAGAUCGCGUCGCCACACUCCAGCCUGGGGGACAGAGUGAGACUCCAUCUCAAAAAAAAAAACACAUACACACACACAGCUUUACUCAUAUUACAUUUUUCAAAUAAGCUCAGUCCCAUAGCUCUUUUUGUUUUAUAAAUUAGCAAUAAUUUUCUUAAUUUUCUGACACUAUCACUUUGCAUCCAUCAACAGUAAAUAGGUUUGCUGCUGACUCAAGUUGCCAUGACCUGAUUUACUUUAGGCCAGAUAGAUUCCUUUGUAAUCAGGUCAAGUACAUGUACACUGCUGCCUUCUAAGCUAUGUUACUAGCAAAGAAAUUACUCCAACAUUAAGUUCAUAACUAAGUUAAAAAAACAGAACACAAAUAGGUACAAAUGACUUCAACUGAAUAUAGAAUUAACAUAUAAGCAGACAGUAUAAAAAUCAUUUCAACAAAUUUUAACACAGUACCAUAACUGUUCAUCCUAAGUAAACUAAAAUCUAAGGAAAAAACCAAUUACAAAGAAAUUAAAAUUCACUCAUAUUUAUUGCUCAUAUUAUUGGAAUUAUAAUUUUGAUAUAUAUGUAUGCUGUAGGAUAAAGCAAAUAAGUAUACAAUUCUGUGAUGUUAAAUUUGAAGGCCGGGCGCGGUGGCUCACACCUGUAAUUCCAGCACUUUGGGAGGCCGAGGCAGGUGGAUCACCUGAGGUCGGGAGUUCGAGACCAGCCUGACUAACCUGGAAAAACCCCAUCUCUACUAAAAAUACAAAAAUUAGCUGGGCAUGGUGGUGCAUGCCUGUAAUCCCAGCUACUCUGGAGGCUGAGGCAGGAGAAGCACUUGAACCCAGGAGGCGGAGGUUGCAGUGAGCCGAGAUCAUGCCACCGCACUCCAGCCUGGGUGACAGAGCAAGACUCUGUCUUAAAUAAAUAAAUAAAUAAAUACAUACAUAAAUAAAUUUGAAAAAGAAACUAUCAAUAACAUAAACUCAUGGUUCUUUUUUUUUUUUUUUUUUUUUAAGACGGAGUCUCGCUCUGUUGCCCAGGCUGGAGUGCAGUGGCAUGAUCUCCGCUCACUGCAAACUCUGCCUCCCGGGUUCGCGCCAUUCUCCUGCCUCAGCCUCCCAAGUAGCUGGGACCACAGGCGCCCGCCACCACACAUGGCUAAUUUUUUGUGUUUUUAGUAGAAACGGGAUUUCACCGUGUUAGCCAGGAUGGUCUUGCUCUCCUGACCUCGUGAUCCACCCGCCUCGGCCUCCCAAAGUGCUAGGAUUACAGGCGUGAGCCACCACGCCCGGCAUGGUUCAUUUUUCAACAUUAUCUCCUAACUCUGUCUGAAGAAAGGCCCUUGAUGCGAUGAACACACUCAGCACUCAGAUCUUGGUUUCUAAGUACUAAUGUCCACAAAAAGAACCAAGGUUCCUAGAAAAACACAUGACUCCAUGACUUAAAACAGGGAAUCUAUAAGAUGAGCCUGAGCCAUCUUAUUGUACAGAAGGCAAGGGAAGUGCUCAAAGAUGACAGGUUAUUUCAAAAGGAUACAAGAGACCGCUUGAAAUGGUUCACACUGGCCAAAUAUAAAACAACUUCAACUUAAAAAAAAAAAAAAGCAAAAUCAACUAUAAAACAUUUAGUAAAUAGUAUUUAUUUUUAUUACAUAUAUUUAACAUGCAAGAUAACGUUUUAAUACACACAAUGAUUACUGCAAGCAUCCAUCACUUUCCAGUUACCCUGUGUGUGUGUUAAGAGCACCUACAAUCUACUCUCUUAGCAAAUGUCCUAUAUUAUUAACUACAGGUCUCCUACUGUACAUCAGAUAGCUACAUUUAUUCAUCCUAUGUAACUGCAAGUAUGUACUGUCUGACCAACACUGCCCUAUUUCCUCCCCCUCCUCAUCCCUGGUAUCCACCAUUCUAUUCUGUUUCUACAUAUUCAACUAUUUUUAAUUUGACACGUUAAGUGAGAUCAUGCCGUUUUUAAUAUUCUUUGUGUCUGAGUUAUUUGACUUAGCAUAAUGUCAGUAAGUAAAAAUGUUAUCCAAUAAGCAAAAAUUACUGAAUCUAUAGUGAUGGAGACAGCUGGAAGAAGGAGAGGGGAAGAAGGAGAGAUGAAGGUUCCUCUUUACAAAAUUCCAGCUAUUAAAUGUGUAAGAAAUAACGAUUAGAAAACUCAUCAUUCUGUAACUCGAGCAAUAAAUGAUGUAGGCAAAGCUCAACAAUGGAUACGAAAAUGAGGUAAGACAAUAAUGGGGAACAGGGCAUGCACGUGGUACUGGACUAGCACUCUGAAGUUUCCUAACUAAAUUAUAAAAUGAGAUAUGUACUUUUAUUUUGUUGAGAGCUGGUGAUCACAACCUUAACUAGGUGGUCAAACAAUGCUAAGAGUGGAGUAACCAGGUAUCAUGAGACUUCUGAUGUAAAGCAUCAUACACAAUGCAACCGGUGAAAUAGCCUCCCCACCGCCCCCCACCAAAAAGUCUAACCUGAAUUUAAUCAAACUUCCAGACUUAAAUUCUGGUACUUUAAUGCAGUGAGGCAACAAAUUAAAUGACAUCAGUAGGAAACAAUCAGAUAAAUUCUGAAUGCAGAACUUUCUGUAAGACAAAUAUCCUGGCCUCUUAAAAAACCAUCAGGGCCAUCCGGGCGCGGUGGCUCACACCUGUAAUCCCAGCACUUUGGGAAGCCGAGGCGAGCAGAUCACGAGGGUCAGGAGAUAGAGACCAUCCUGGCUAACACUGUGAAACCCCGUCUCUACCAAAAAUACAAAAACAAAAUUAGCCGGGUGUGGUGGUGGGCGCCUAUAGUCCCACCUACUUGGGAGGCUGAGGCGGGAGAAUGGCGUGAAUCCAGGAGGCGGAGCUUGCAGUGAGCAGAGAUGGCACCACUGCACUCGAGCCUGGGUGACAGAGUGAGACUCCGUCUCAAAAAAAAAAAAAAAAUUCAGGACCAAGGGGAAUUUUUUUCAAAGGGGGGUACUGUUCAAAACUAAGAGAGACAUAACUAAAUGAUUAUGGUUUGGGAAAAAAAAUAUGAAAAGACAUUUUGAAGAUGGGGAAAACUGAAUACAGUGAUUAUCAGAUUAUAUCAAAGAAUUACUAGGAAUUGACUUAAGUGUUAUAUAACCACAGGUAUGAGACCUUUUUCUUAAGAAAUGCAGGCAACUUACUUUCAAAUAAGACCAUAUAUAUAUUUAAUAAAAUAAACUUUCAAAUAAGACUGUACAUAUACUUAAUAUAAGUAUUAUACAGUAAAUAUAUAUUAUAGAGAGGGAGAAAGGAAAGGGACUAUGUACAAUUAUGGUUAAAUGCUAACUGGAAAACAAUCUAGGCAGAGGGAUAUGGGUACUCAUCUUACUGCUCUUUCACAUUUUCUGUAUAUUUCAAAUUUUCAUUUAUUUAUUUAUUUAUUAAGAGACAGGGUCUCACUCUGUUGUCCAGGCUCCAGUGAAGUGAUGUGAUCAUAGCUCACUGCAGCCUUGAACUCCUGGGUUCAAGUGAUCUUCCUGUCUCAGCCUCCCAAGUAGCUUGGACUACAACCAAGCCACCAUGCCCAACUACAUUUUUUUUUUUUUUUAAGAGAUGGGGCCAGGCACAUUGGCUCACGCCUGUAAUCGCUGGACUUUGGGAGGCCAAAGCAGGUGGAUCACCUGAGGCCAGGAGUUCGACACCAGCCUGGCCAACAUGAUGAGACCCUCCCUCUACUAAAAAUACAAAAAAUUAGCCAGGCAUGGUGGCGCUUGCCUGUAGUCCCAGCUACCCAGGAGGCUAAGGCAGGAGAAUCACUUGCACCUGGGAGGCAGAGGCUCUAGUAAGCUGAGAUUGCGCCACUGCACUCCAGCCUGGGCAACAGAGCAAGACUCUGCCUCAAAAAAUAUUUUAUAAAGAUGUUAACUGGCUUUUUUAAUGCAUUGACAUUUGUAUGGAUGGUGCAAAAGCAAUGGUGGGUAAAACUGCUGGUGCCUUAGCACAAAUAAAGGUAGGACUUCUAACUGCUACAUACUAUGUAGCAGUCAAAAAGUAAAAUGCCAGUUUCACUUAAAGCCCUUAAUGAAGGAAUAAAAAUAGUUAAUUUUAUUAAAUCUCUAUCCCUGAAUACACUAAUAAUCUCUGUGACAAAACAAGUAUGCAUAAAACACUUCUGCUGCAUGCAAAGUACAGUGGUUGUAUGGAGAAAAAACCACCACUGUUUAAGUUGCAAGCCAAACUAGCUACUUUUUUCUCAAACAUCAUCUUUACUGGAAAGAUCGACAAACUAUGCUGAUUCAAACGUGGGAAUGUGGCAGGCAUUUUCUCGAAAACAAAGAGUAAAUCUGUUACCAUCAGUUGUUUUCCUUGAAGUAUUUGCUUCCAAUAAAAAAAAAUUGAACUUUUAAGCAAAAACAAAUUUUAGAGAACUUGUAUCUACCACUGUGAACUUGAUAGGUUCCCAGUACUUACAAACUUUUCUGAGUUUGGCAGUGGUAUUAACAUGGUUUUUCGAUACUGUAUAAUGAAAUGUGUCAUCAUUUGAAAGAUUUGCAUAAUUCAUCGUAACCAGUAUUUUGCAAGUGACCAGUGUAUGAUGUUACAAAGCAUGUAUGGGUAAAUGCCCAUUCAAAAUGCAAGAUAAAGCAGCAGAUUUUAAUGCAAUGUAUGAAAGGUUACUGGCACGGUUUCACAUUCCAAGUUGCAACUAAUCAUCAAGAAACUCCCAUUUCUUGAGUUUUGGGGUAGUACUGUAGAAGAAUAUCCAAAAUUACCUGAAAAGCUUAUUAAAACACAACUACGUAUCACUGUGAAGUCAUACAGUUUUCUAGAAAUUCAAAGUCUCACCUAAGCACCUGGGAGUGCAAAACUAUAGGACAAUUACAUUGAAAAGAUCCCCAGUGGGCUCUUCAGGUAAAAUAGGAAAAAUAAGGCCAUAAAAAUUGAACACACUCAUUCUUUAGUUAUUUAAAAGCAAUUCAAUCUACAAGAAUAAAAGGUACUGGCAACCUCUAAUUUUAACUUUAAAUAACAAAACACUAUAACAAGCUAUUUAAGGAAUUUUUUACAAAAAAGGCGAAGUCAAAUUAUUCUCAAUACCCAUGCUGGACCAUAUUACAUUUUGGGAGGCCAAGGCAGGCAGAUAGCCUGAGCCUAGGAGUUCAAGACCAGCAUGGGCAACAAACUGAAACCACGUCUCUACAAAAAAUACAAAAAUUAGCCAGGUAUCAUAAUGCACGCCUGUAGUCCCAGCUAUUUAGGAGUCUGAGGUGGGAGAUCACCUGAGCCCGAGGACGUCAAGGCUGCACUGAGCUGGGAUCACACCACUGCAUUCCAGCCUGGGUGAGAGUGAGACCAUCUCAAAAAAAAAAGAGGAGGAGGAAUAAAGUUGGCCCUAACCUUACACCAUAUACAAAAAUUAACUUAAAAUAGAACAACGAUCUAAACGUAACGACCUAAAACUAUGAAUUAUAGGAAAAAAACAUAGACAAAAAUGUAUGUAACACUGGAUCUGGCAACAAUUUAUUGGAUAUGACACCAAAAGCACAGACAACAGAAUGACAAAUUGAACAUCAAAAUUAAAAUGUUUUUGCAUCAAAGGACAAUAUCAAUACAGUGAAAAACAACUAAUGAAAUAGCAGAAAAUAUUUGUAAACCAUAUUACUGCUAAGGAUUAACAUACUACUACAACUCAAUAAAAACAAAAAAACUCAAUUCAAAAAUGGGCAAAGGGCCGGGCACGGUGGCUCACACCUGUAAUCCCAGCACUCUGGGACACCGAGGCAAGUGUAUCACCUGAGGUCAGGAGUUAGGGACCAGCCUGACAAACAUGAUGAAACCCCAUCUCUACUAAAAAUACAAAAUUAGCCAAGCAUGGUGUCACAUGCGUGUAAUCCCAGCUACUUGGGAGGCUGAGGCAGGAGAAUUCCUUGAACCCAGGAGGCGGAGGUUGCAGUGAGCCAAGAUUGUGCUACCGCACUCCAGCCUGGGCAACAAGAGCGAAACUCCAUCUAAAACAAACAAACAAAAAAACUGGGCAAAGGACUUAGACAUUUCUUCAAAGAUACAAAAAUAGCCAGUAAACACAUAAAAAAUGCUCAACAUCACUAAUCAUUAGUGAAGUGCAAAUCAAACCACAAUGAGAUACCACUUCACACCCAUUAGGCUAUUAUCAAAAAACAGAAAAUAGAAGUGCUGGUAAGGAUACGAAGAAACUAGGGCCCUCAUAUGUUGCUGGUAGCAAUGUAAAAUGGUGCAGACAACCACAGAGAACAGUUUGGCAGUUCCUCAGAAAGUUAUAGGCCUACCAUACUGACCCAGGAAAUCCACUCCUAGGUAUAUAUCCAAAAGAACUGAAAGCAGAGACUCAAACAGAUGUAUCUGUAUGCCAACCUUCACAGCAGCAUUAUUCACAGUAGCCAAAAGGUAAAAACAAUCCAAGUGUCCAUCAACAGAUGAAUGGAUAAACAAAAUGUGGAAGGCAUGGAGGUGUGGUGGUGUGUGUAUGUCUCACACACAAUGGAAUAUUCUUUUAUAUAUAUACAUAUAUAUCUUACAUACAAUGGAAUUUUAUUCAGCCAUAAAAAGGAAUGAAAUUUUGACAUACCGUAAAAGACAGAUGUAACCUUAGAAAAAUCAGGCUUAGUGAAAUAAACCAGAUUCAUACAAUGUUCGUCCUUUUGUAUCUGGUUUAUGAUGGAUAUUGUAUGAUUCUAUUUAUAUAAGAUACUUAGAAAAAGCACAUUCCUAGAGACAGAGUGGAAUAGUAUUGACUAGGUGUGCAGUGGGGGAGGAAGUUAUUGGUUAAUGGGUACAGAGUUUUUGUUGGAUAUGAUAAAAAGGUUUUGGGUAUAGAUAAUUGUGAUGGUUACAUAACACCGUGAAAGUAAUGCCACUGACUUGUACACUUGAGAAUGGUUUUAAAAAUAUGUAUAUUUUACAAUUUUUUAAAAAAUGGUUAUAUCUGAAAAAACGACUUACACAUAUCCUUUGAAAGACAGUUGCUAUGAUGUUUAUUAGUAACUUUCAAAUAAAAAAUUAAGAGUUGAGCCCUCCAAUAACAAAUAAAUAAUAAAAAUCACUGACAGUGCUUUACUUACCCGUUUGGGGCCACUAAAAAUCUUUCUGGUAUUUUCCUUUGAUUUAUCUCCUUGUUUAUUUAUGGGCUUCUUCACACUUUCAGGCACACCAGGCAAGUCCUCUGUAAAAUCCAAGUUUUCUGAAAUGGUAAUCAAAACUAUCUAGCUUACUAAUAUUUCAAAUUACCUACCAGACAACCUAUCAAGAUUAUAUAUACAUGAAUGAAUGAAAAUGGGAAGAAAAGAAUAAAGGAAAUCACAGCACCACAGAGCUGACAAAAUACUCCCUAGAAUAAGAAGUUUCAUUCUGCCAUUCUCCCUUCCUGCUUGUCCCUCCCGCAAGAGAAAUCAUAAACCUGGUUGCUGUGUAUGUGUUCUAGUCUUAUUUUAUGUCAAAUGGAAAAAUCAAAUCUUUUCCAAAAUAAUUUUCUUACUUCCGAGAGGUCACAUAACUGCUGGAUAUCCAUGGAUACUGACACUGGAAUGGUAAGGUUUAUACACACACAAAACAUCAUGCGUAUCUACCUGUAACAUUUUUCAGAACUUUAAAUCCACUAAAUCAUGUUGGCCUUCAAAGAAUGCCUGCUGGCAACUACAAAAGCCACAUUUAAAACACCAGAAAAGGAGGACAGUUAUCCUUGGCAAGAGAUUUAAAAUGACCUAAUAUAACAAAGUUUAAUGAUUUGUCGGUCUUCAAACACAACUAACCAAAGAGUCAGUUUAUUUCCCAACUGGUUAAAAAUAUGUAUCUUUUUCUAAGCGAAACAAAAUAGGAAACAUAGAAAGACUCUUCUCUAUCCCAAUGCUUAAAAUUUUUUGCUGUUUCACUUAUGGUAUGAAGACUCAAAUUUCAACUUUGGGUAGAUCAACCAAAUGGCCUCUAAUUUUCAAAUGUUAUUUAGCAUCUACUUCAAGUUUCUCAAAGGGAGUCUAAUUUCACAUUUUACAUCUUUAAAAGUUGUAUUACACAAGAUGUAAAUUUCAGCCACAGAUUCUCAAUUGCAGGGGAUAACUUGCUAUCCAGGUUAGAAUAAAAGCUUAUAAGUAAACUACAGCAGGACAAGGGCGCUGGUAUUGUAUAGCAGUAUUUAUCAUUCUACUGAGGAAACAAAUGCCUAGCUGUUCUGCCUAGCCAGAUCUUAAGUGACUAUAGUAAGGCUGCUGCAAAUUUCCAGUCUCCAGAAAAGAUUCAAAGACAACACUGGAUGUAUUUCUUUUUUCUUUUUUUUCGGGGGAGGCAGGGGUGAGCCCCUAGGGGUACUCCUGUGUAUGUCUAGUUUUGAAGAAUAAAUUAAGCAAAACUAUUUUCAGGCCAAAUAAAGCAAAAUGGUAGGUAAUCUCAAGAAUGACUUAUAUUCUACAAGAGAAUUUGUAUUUCAAAAUACUACUGUAAUUCUAAUUUACCAUAAUGACACUUCUGUGGCCCUACCAGGAAAAAAGCUUUAUUUAAUAUGUAAACCAAUCCAGAAAAACUAUAUUUGGUUAAGAAACCAUGUAUCCUAGAAGCUUUCACAAAUUCUUCCUCACUAGAUAGUCAAUCCACUUCACAAAGCCCUUGUCAGGUAAUGACUUAAUUAUGGCAGAGCUAACCUAUUUCUUUUGUUUGUCUCUCACAGUGGAGACUGAACUCCUUGAGGACCCUUAGUCACUACUGAGUCUACAAUCUCGGCACAAAUUAAAUUUCCACAGUUAAGAGGGAAUGCAUACUUACCUGGCACUUUUCAAUUUUAUUAAACCAACUUAGGAGGGUUUGAGAGUGUUUUGAAUGUUUAUUAGUUUUUAGCCAACCACAAAGAGUUUUUAAAUUCUAAUCUUCUGGUAUUUCCCUCAUUAUAACCACCUGUUAUCAGUACAGUUCCAAAGGCCCAAAAUCUAAUCUAUGUUUUCACUGCAUUUGCAUUUGUCAAGUGGAAACAUCACGAUGUUUGGUGUCCCUGCCCCAUACACAUAUAUGCUUUAAAAUUCUCAAGUGCUAAAGGUUAAAUUAAAACUCAAAUAUGAAGACUCUCCAAUCUACAAAUUGGUUCCUUACAACUUGGGACCUGAUCAUUAACACUUGAAAUGCUGUACCUUUAGAUAAGGUGAUUUACGGUUCUAACAGGUACUUUUAAUAAAUAUAACAAGCUAAACUUGAGUAUCUAGGAAGAAACUAUGCAGCUGUUGAUUCAAGCCUGAAAAACACAUUUAAAGUAGCCCCCCCAGCCAUCAACAGGGAAUACAUGCCAGUUCCUAGUGGAUGCCUGAAACCAGGAAUAGUACACCAAAACCUGUAUAUACUAUGUUUUUUCGUAUACAUACCUAUGAUAAAGUUUAAUUUAUAAAUCAAGCACAGUAAGAGAUUAGCAAUGACUAAGAAUAGAACAAUGAUUUUAACAAUACGCUAUAAUAAAUGUUAUGUGAAUGGGAUCUUUAUCUUAUUAUACUGUACUCACCUCUUUUCAGAAUAUGGUUGACCUUGGGUAAUUGAAACCACAGAAAGUGAAACUGCAGGUAAGGGGGAACUAUUGUACUUAUUAUACAUAUUUUUUAAAUUCUUACCUGCAUUGUUAGUACCAGACUGACUGUCCUGGGAAUUAUCAUUGCUUUCUGGGGGAGGC